rnacentral:rRNA from 1 species
GUACACAAAAAUGCACAUGCUGUGAGCUCGAUGAGUAGGGCGGGACACGUGGUAUCCUGUCUGAAUAUGGGGGGACCAUCCUCCAAGGCUAAAUACUCCUGACUGACCGAUAGUGAACCAGUACCGUGAGGGAAAGGCGAAAAGAACCCCGGCGAGGGGAGUGAAAAAGAACCUGAAACCGUGUACGUACAAGCAGUGGGAGCACGCUUAGGCGUGUGACUGCGUACCUUUUGUAUAAUGGGUCAGCGACUUAUAUUCUGUAGCAAGGUUAACCGAAUAGGGGAGCCGAAGGGAAACCGAGUCUUAACUGGGCGUUAAGUUGCAGGGUAUAGACCCGAAACCCGGUGAUCUAGCCAUGGGCAGGUUGAAGGUUGGGUAACACUAACUGGAGGACCGAACCGACUAAUGUUGAAAAAUUAGCGGAUGACUUGUGGCUGGGGGUGAAAGGCCAAUCAAACCGGGAGAUAGCUGGUUCUCCCCGAAAGCUAUUUAGGUAGCGCCUCGUGAAUUCAUCUCCGGGGGUAGAGCACUGUUUCGGCAAGGGGGUCAUCCCGACUUACCAACCCGAUGCAAACUGCGAAUACCGGAGAAUGUUAUCACGGGAGACACACGGCGGGUGCUAACGUCCGUCGUGAAGAGGGAAACAACCCAGACCGCCAGCUAAGGUCCCAAAGUCAUGGUUAAGUGGGAAACGAUGUGGGAAGGCCCAGACAGCCAGGAUGUUGGCUUAGAAGCAGCCAUCAUUUAAAGAAAGCGUAAUAGCUCACUGGUCGAGUCGGCCUGCGCGGAAGAUGUAACGGGGCUAAACCAUGCACCGAAGCUGCGGCAGCGACGCUGAUGCGUUGUUGGGUAGGGGAGCGUUCUGUAAGCCUGCGAAGGUGUGCUGUGAGGCAUGCUGGAGGUAUCAGAAGUGCGAAUGCUGACAUAAGUAACGAUAAAGCGGGUGAAAAGCCCGCUCGCCGGAAGACCAAGGGUUCCUGUCCAACGUUAAUCGGGGCAGGGUGAGUCGACCCCUAAGGCGAGGCCGAAAGGCGUAGUCGAUGG